AGUGAACGCUGGCGGUAGGCCUAACACAUGCAAGUCGAACGGCAGCACAGUAAGAGCUUGCUCUUACGGGUGGCGAGUGGCGGACGGGUGAGGAAUACAUCGGAAUCUACUUUUUCGUGGGGGAUAACGUAGGGAAACUUACGCUAAUACCGCAUACGACCUACGGGUGAAAGCAGGGGAUCUUCGGACCUUGCGCGAUUGAAUGAGCCGAUGUCGGAUUAGCUAGUUGGCGGGGUAAAGGCCCACCAAGGCGACGAUCCGUAGCUGGUCUGAGAGGAUGAUCAGCCACACUGGAACUGAGACACGGUCCAGACUCCUACGGGAGGCAGCAGUGGGGAAUAUUGGACAAUGGGCGCAAGCCUGAUCCAGCCAUACCGCGUGGGUGAAGAGGGCCUUCGGGUUGUAAAGCCCUUUUGUUGGGAAAGAAAAGCAGCAGGUUAAUACCCCGCUGUUCUGACGGUACCCAAAGAAUAAGCACCGGCCAACUUCGUG
rnacentral:rRNA from 1 species